GAACCUUCUCCGCGCACACUAAAGACACACUUCACAGUCUGCGUGACCUCUGCAGCCCGCUGCAGCAUCUGGAGGCCUCAGCCCACCUGUGCUCUGGAGCUGAGGAGCCAUCUGAAGCCUGGUGCAGCUGUCCUGGGAUACUCAUCUUUCUGGUGGAGGUGACACUCUACCCUUGGAAGCUCUUGAGUUCAAGUUCACCACUCAAGCACAAGCAAAAUUCCACAUAUAAGCGAUAUCAUAUAUUUGUCUUCCUCUGCUGCUGGCUCAUGGAAUUGGAAGAUUUAAGGAACCAGUUCCUGUUUCGCUGGUUCUGGCCGACCCCAGAAUCAACUCCCUUGAGUGGAAAUAAACAGGAUCUUCCUUUUUGUCCCCAGGAAUGUGAUGGAGGAAGGACUCUAGGGGAAAAGGCCUCUUCUGCCAAAGAAUAAUAAUAAUAACAAAGAUGACAGUGGGAAUAAAAUAUUGCCCUCUUCAUCAAGGGCGAUAAGGAAGUGUCCAGUUAUAUGUGUUGAGCCUUCUUGCUCUCCACGUAUGCAUGUUAGAACUCCAGAAUUCAGCCCAGAUUUGAUUUGAACUUUCUGUUCUGUGAUCCUCUUUAGUGUACUAUACAAAUUGGGCCACAUGUCUCAAUCUGCGUUUCAGAAAACAGGAUUACAAUUACAGCACUUCAUGUCGACACUACCAUAAAUGUCUGAGCAUGAACCUCUCCUGAAGGGUAUGUCUUGGCCAUGUGUACCCCCAGUGCCUGGCACAGUGCCUGGUCCUUGGAAGCUGGGGCAGAGGGGCUACAGUAUAAACAGGGUGAGGCAGGGGGUGUCUGCAGCUCCCUCUCUGUUGGCCGAGGAAUGGGGUGUGGGGACUGAGGAAGAACCCAGAUGACUGCAUAAACCUUUCCUUUCCCUCCAUGCUCCUGGGGCAGGGGCAGGAAGAGCUGUGUUCAGGGAGCAGGCCCAAGACUCAUCCCCUCUGUUGACUUUUGUAAACUCCUUGCAUUAUGAAGGAAUCAUUUGCCCACUUCUGGGCCAGCUGUAUCUCAGAGUUUGUUCUGUCCUUUCCCAAGGGGAGGACCAUGUUACCUGAAGAAUCUUUUGCUAUUGCUAUUUCUAUUAAAUUUUCCUUUUUGCUCAAGAAAGUGAUGAGGUAGAAGAAUGUCCUUGCUCUGCUCUUCCAAUCUUCCUUGGUUCAGAGAUACAGAUUCUUUUUCUCUUUCUCCUCUCCCUCUCUCUCCCCACCUUCUCCUUGUUCCUGUGUUUUGAAGACUAAAUUCCCAAAGCUGAGGGGAGUCAGGAGAGGUGAAUCCAGUCUGUUUCUAGAGGAGCUCCCCACUACUACAAUCAGUAAAAAAAAAAUUCCUUUACUCUGCUCAAGAACUUUCAAUAGCUCCCUAUUGUCAUCAAUUUACCUACAUUUCUAACAUUAA